rnacentral:rRNA from 3 species
GUCCACGCCGUAAACGAUGUCGACUUGGAGGUUGUGCCCUUGAGGCGUGGCUUCCGGAGCUAACGCGUUAAGUCGACCGCCUGGGGAGUACGGCCGCAAGGUUAAAACUCAAAUGAAUUGACGGGGGCCCGCACAAGCGGUGGAGCAUGUGGUUUAAUUCGAUGCAACGCGAAGAACCUUACCUGGUCUUGACAUCCACAGAACUUUCCAGAGAUGGAUUGGUGCCUUCGGGAACUGUGAGACAGGUGCUGCAUGGCUGUCGUCAGCUCGUGUUGUGAAAUGUUGGGUUAAGUCCCGCAACGAGCGCAACCCUUAUCCUUUGUUGCCAGCGGUCCGGCCGGGAACUCAAAGGAGACUGCCAGUGAUAAACUGGAGGAAGGUGGGGAUGACGUCAAGUCAUCAUGGCCCUUACGACCAGGGCUACACACGUGCUACAAUGGCGCAUACAAAGAGAAGCGACCUCGCGAGAGCAAGCGGACCUCAUAAAGUGCGUCGUAGUCCGGAUUGGAGUCUGCAACUCGACUCCAUGAAGUCGGAAUCGCUAGUAAUCGUGGAUCAGAAUGCCACGGUGAAUACGUUCCCGGGCCUUGUACACACCGCCCGUCACACCAUGGGAGUGGGUUGCAAAAGAAGUAGGUAGCUUAACCUUCGGGAGGGCGCUUACCACUUUGUGAUUCAUGACUGG